UACGUAGGGCGCGAGCGUUGUCCGGAUUUAUUGGGCGUAAAGGGCGCGUAGGUGGCGCGCUAAGUCAGGUGUGAAAUUUCGGAGCUUAACUCCGAAACUGCAUUUGAUACUGGUGUGCUUGAGGACUGGAGAGGAGACUGGAAUUCAUGGUGUAGCAGUGAAAUGCGUAGAGAUCAUGAGGAAGACCAGUGGCGAAGGCGGGUCUCUGGACAGUUCCUGACACUGAGGCACGAAGGCCAGGGGAGCAAACGGG
rnacentral:rRNA from 1 species